rnacentral:misc_RNA from 1 species
AACGCACAUUGCGCCCCUUGGUAUUCCAUGGGGCAUGCCUGUUCGAGCGUCAUUUGUACUCUCAAGCUUUGCUUGGUGUUGGGUGCUGUCUAGCUACUAGACUCGCCUUAAAAGAAUUGGCAGCCAGUGUAUUGGUCUUUUGCGCAGCACAAUUUGCGCUUUAACCAGCUAUUUCUGGCAUCCAGAAGCCUUUUACAACGCUUGACCUCGGAUCAGGUAGGGAUACCCGCUGAACUUAA